ensembl:lncRNA
GUUAUUUCUCUAUCACAAGUACGCUGAAAUAAAGUUGCUUUCACCACAGCACUGAGGCAGAAAGAACAGGAAAAUGUAAAGCGACUGUUCUCUGAUCUUCGUGUACAUCAAUUACAUGCAAUAAAUUCCCUGCUAUUUGAGCACAGACAGAAUCUCAAAUGCACAUACACUUUGGCUAUUAGAAAGUAUAAACCAAAUAGUGAUAAACAGUGACUAUUUGCUGGCUUAGAUUUAUUUUCCGAGUAAUAUAACUGGGUGAAAAAAACAACCUGGUAUCGAAGGAUGUAUCAUUUUUAAUCUCAGUGCUUUGGCUACUGCCAACAUCAGAUAGAGUGUCAUAUUGCAAUAAUUCAAAGAUCUCUCUAUUAGUUUCUCUAAGCCUUUAUAGUAAAUGAAGCUGUUACAACAGGAAAUGUUAGACACAGUCUCUAGACUUCCUCAGGUCUGGGGCCUUAAUUUAUUUUAAGGAGGAAUUCAAGAUAAACUGUGUUUUACUUAAAUGCACUACUCUUUUUAACCAUUGUUGUUAGAUAAACACUCCAGGUAUUCCUUCCUUUGAACACCUGUGAUAAAAAUGCUUGCUUUCACAGUGCAGAGGUAUGAGCAGCAGCACGUUAAGGCUGCGAGCUGCUGCCCAGUAUUACCAACUUGGGGAAGUGAUAUUCACUAAUUAAUUAUAUCAGCACUUAAAGAAAUGCCAUUCUCAGAAAGGGUUAACCAGCCGGAUCAGCUGGAACAACGUUUCCUAAAGAACAAUAGAAAAAUCAUUAGUGUGCUAACUGAAACAAUGCUGCACUUUUCUCUCUAUUGUUUAACCUUUUGUCCACAUUACAAAUAUCUCAAUGUAGUUCUUAUCUUUGACCUUGAGGGACUGCAGCUUUAUCAGUGCUUCCUUUUAGAUCACAGAUGACCUUCAGCUGAUAUCAUUGAGCCCUGACCUGCCUCAGUGAUCUGCUCGCACAGAAUACAUAUGCUGAACAGUGCUGGUGUGUGCAGUAGGGGUCCCACAAGUUAAACAUGUUUAUGGCUAUGGAGUCUGGCUCCCCACUUAGCUAGUCUGUCUCAUCAGGCAGAAUAACCCACGUGAGAGCAAGUGUACACCAGGCAGCACAGCUGAAGUGCAAGGAGACGGAGGGCAUCCAAAGAUCAUCAAAGGUAACCACAGCCAGGGAAUAACCCAACUCUGCCACAGCACAGGAGUGCCUGAGUGAGUCUGUGGAGGAUUACAGCGAAGUUUCGUGACCUUCAUCCAGAUCCUGUGGUCAAUGAGUGCAAUAAGAGGCAGAGCCUCAGGUUCCAGGGCCCGCUCCAAAGAAAUGUUGUUUGGUCACAGAGAAGGAUCCUCUCAGUGACACUCAGGUGGGAGUAGGAUUAGGCCUGACUGAGAGAACCCAGAUCAAAAGACAUCGGAAAUCUGUGUGACACACUGAACUGGUGGGGUGCUGGAAUGACAGUAUUUUCCUUACAAGGGGACAUGAAUUUCUAGCACUCUGUGAUAGGUAGGUGUAGUCAGCAGCUGAAUAAGGAGUUGACAUUCAUGUCUCUUCAUCAAUUUCGUUCUAAAAACUAAACUUUUUUCUACCUAUUUUCAUAGCACUUUCCUUCAUUAUCCGUUCUUGGUAUCAUGUGCAUGAUUUGCCACUAUCAGUUCAGUGCCAGUGCUCUGAAAUGAUACUGUUAUGCUGAUGCAAGUGAAAUCAGAAUAGUGGCCAACAUUUUGCAGGGAGACAAAGAGUUCUGGACGAAGCAAUCUUUUUCUCACAACAUGGCUACCAGCUCAGUGCCGAGAAGCACCUUGCUGGCUCCCAUGAAGGUUACCGAAUUGCAAGCUGUGCACAGGUCUUAAAAGCAGAAUUCUUCAGGUCAUGAGAGUCUGUAAUAGGACAUAAAUGGACAUUUCAUCUAUAAAAUGCCUACUCAUACGCCAUCCUCACACCACAGCUAAUGCAUCAAAACCUGAAAUAGGUUCUGUGUGACAAUUUAUUUCCCUGGCCACAGAAAAUAAUGUCUUAUAUUAUCAAUACAUUUUCUAUAGUACUUAGAUGUUCUACUAAGAUAUCUUACAAACUUGUGCUGUGAGCUUUAUUACCUGUUCAUAUUAUUUCAAUAAAAAACUUACAAUAUUAU